rnacentral:rRNA from 1 species
AUGCAGCGACGCCGCGUGAGGGAUGACGGCCUUCGGGUUGUAAACCUCUUUCAGUAGGGAAGAAGCGAAAGUGACGGUACCUGCAGAAGAAGCGCCGGCUAACUACGUGCCAGCAGCCGCGGUAAUACGUAGGGCGCAAGCGUUAUCCGGAAUUAUUGGGCGUAAAGAGCUCGUAGGCGGUUUGUCGCGUCUGCUGUGAAAGACCGGGGCUCAACUCCGGUUCUGCAGUGGGUACGGGCAGACUAGAGUGCAGUAGGGGAGACUGGAAUUCCUGGUGUAGCGGUGAAAUGCGCAGAUAUCAGGAGGAACACCGAUGGCGAAGGCAGGUCUCUGGGCUGUAACUGACGCUGAGGAGCGAAAGCAUGGGGAGCGAACAGGAUUAGAUACCCUGGUAGUCCAUGCCGUAAACGUUGGGCACUAGGUGUGGGGGACAUUCCACGUUUUCCGCGCCGUAGCUAACGCAUUAAGUGCCCCGCCUGGGGAGUACGGCCGCAAGGCUAAAACUCAAAGGAAUUGACGGGGGCCCGCACAAGCGGCGGAGCAUGCGGAUUAAUUCGAUGCAACGCGAAGAACCUUACCAAGGCUUGACAUGAACCGGAAAGACCUGGAAACAGGUGCCCCGCUUGCGGUCGGUUUACAGGUGGUGCAUGGUUGUCGUCAGCUCGUGUCGUGAGAUGUUGGGUUAAGUCCCGCAACGAGCGCAACCCUCGUUCUAUGUUGCCAGCGCGUUAUGGCGGGGACUCAUAAGAGACUGCCGGGCUCAACUCGGAGAGGUGGGGACGACGUCUAAUCAUCAUGCCCCUUAUGUCUUGAGCUUCACGCAUGCUACGAUGAACAGUACUAACGAUAGCGAUACUGUGACG